rnacentral:rRNA from 1 species
CCUACGGGUGGCAGCAGUGGGGAAUAUUGCACAAUGGGGGGAACCCUGAUCCAGCGACGCCGCGUGAGCGAUGAAGUAUUUCGGUAUGUAAAGCUCUAUCAGCCGGGAAGAAAAUGACGGUACCUGACUAAGAAGCCCCGGCUAACUACGUGCCAGCAGCCGCGGUAAUACGUAGGGGGCAAGCGUUAUCCGGAUUUACUGGGUGUAAAGGGAGCGUAGACGGUUUAGCAAGCCAGAUGUGAAAGGUUGGGGCCCAAACCCAGGACUGCAUUUGAAACUGUUGAACUGGAGUGUCGGAGAGGUAAGCGGAAUUCCGAGUGUAGCGGUGAAAUGCGUAGAUAUUAGGAGGAACACCAGUGGCGAAGGCGGCUUACUGGACUGCAACUGACGUUGAGGCUCGAAAGCGUGGGGAGCAAACAGGAUUAGAUACCCUAGUAGUC